GCCGUAAACGAUGUCGACUUGGAGGUUGUGCCCUUGAGGCGUGGCUUCCGGAGCUAACGCGUUAAGUCGACCGCCUGGGGAGUACGGCCGCAAGGUUAAAACUCAAAUGAAUUGACGGGGGCCCGCACAAGCGGUGGAGCAUGUGGUUUAAUUCGAUGCAACGCGAAGAACCUUACCUGGUCUUGACAUCCACAGAACUUUCCAGAGAUGGAUUGGUGCCUUCGGGAACUGUGAGACAGGUGCUGCAUGGCUGUCGUCAGCUCGUGUUGUGAAAUGUUGGGUUAAGUCCCGCAACGAGCGCAACCCUUAUCCUUUGUUGCCAGCGGUCCGGCCGGGAACUCAAAGGAGACUGCCAGUGAUAAACUGGAGGAAGGUGGGGAUGACGUCAAGUCAUCAUGGCCCUUACGACCAGGGCUACACACGUGCUACAAUGGCGCAUACAAAGAGAAGCGACCUCGCGAGAGCAAGCGGACCUCAUAAAGUGCGUCGUAGUCCGGAUUGGAGUCUGCAACUCGACUCCAUGAAGUCGGAAUCGCUAGUAAUCGUGGAUCAGAAUGCCACGGUGAAUACGUUCCCGGGCCUUGUACACACCGCCCGUCACACCAUGGGAGUGGGUUGCAAAAGAAGUAGGUAGCUUAACCUUCGGGAGGGCGCUUACCACUUUGUGAUUCAUGACUGGGGUGAAGUCGUAACAAGGUAACCGUAGGGGAACCUGCGGUUG
rnacentral:rRNA from 1 species